rnacentral:rRNA from 1 species
UACAGAGGUGGCAAGCGUUGUUCGGAAUUACUGGGCGUAAAGGGCGCGUAGGCGGUCAGGUCAGUCCCGUGUGAAAUCCCUCGGCUCAACUGAGGAACUGCACGGGAAACUGCCUGGCUUGAGUUCGGGAGAGGGAAGCGGAAUUCCGGGUGUAGCGGUGAAAUGCGUAGAUAUCCGGAGGAACACCGGUGGCGAAGGCGGCUUCCUGGACCGACACUGACGCUGAUGCGCGAAAGCUAGGGGAGCGAACAGG